AGCAGCCGCGGUAAUUCCAGCUCCAAUAGCGUAUAUUAAAGUUGUUGCAGUUAAAAAGCUCGUAGUUGAAUUUCGGGACCAAUAUGUCGGUCGUGCCUCGGUACGUACUGGUGUCAUUGGUUUCUCCCUUCUGAGGAUCCUUGAUGUCAUUAAUUUGGUGUCUUGGGGAAUCAGGACUGUUACCUUGAAAAAAUUAGAGUGUUUAAAGCAGGCAUACGCUUGAAUACAUUAGCAUGGAAUAAUGAAAUAGGACGUUCGAUUCUAUUUUGUUGGUUUCUAGGAUCGACGUAAUGAUUAAUAGGGAUAGUUGGGGGCAUUAGUAUUCAAUUGUCAGAGGUGAAAUUCUUGGAUUUAUUGAAGACUAACUACUGCGAAAGCAUUUGCCAAGGAUGUUUUCAUUAAUCAAGAACGAAAGUUAGGGGAUCGAAGACGAUCAGAUACCGUCGUAGUCUUAACCAUAAACUAUGCCGACUAGGGAUCGGAUGAUGUUAAUUUUUUAAUGACUCAUUCGGCGCCUUACG
rnacentral:rRNA from 1 species